CACAUGCCCGGUGCACUCUCCUUCAUUUUCAUGGGCCCGUUUGGGAGAUAGGUGCGGGUCCUAUAGUUGAGACCCACGUCAAUUUGACAUUGAUAGCAUAUCCUAGCUAUAAACCACCAAUGUCUCAGAUGAGACAACUUCUUUAAGUCCUCUCCAUUAUGUGUACACUCAAGAGUCCUCUCAAUGCAUUUCAUAGCUGGAUUGCUGGCAAACCAUAAGUUUACAGGGGGCGAGUAUCAACAUAAAAAUGACUGUUCUGAGGUCAGCGGUAGAUGUAAAAUACAAACUGCCCUCUGGUUCCACCGGUAGAGACCUGUGGUUGAUGGUCUACCAGGCCCCAUAUAGUGUCUAAUCUAUUGCAUUUUAUAGU